GUUGUAUAGUCAAGUAAUUAAGUGCAUGUGGUGGAUGCCUUGGCAGUCAGAGGCGAUGAAAGACGUGAUAGCCUGCGAAAAGCUCCGGGGAGGCGGCAAAUAUCCUUUGAUCCGGAGAUGUCUGAAUGGGGGAACCCACCUACUUUAAGGUAGGUAUUGCAACAUGAAUACAUAGUGUUGCAAGGCGAACGAGGGGAAGUGAAACAUCUCAGUACCCUUAGGAAAAGAAAUCAAUUGAGAUUCCCUCAGUAGCGGCGAGCGAACGGGGGUCAGCCCAUUAAGUUAUGUGUGUUUUAGUGGAACGCUCUGGGAAGUGCGAA
rnacentral:rRNA from 1 species